AGAGAUUAGUACGAAGGUACUGAAUUAGUACUUUAGUAGUUUAGUGAAAUUUUGCAGGGGAGGAAAGAAACAGUUAAUUAUGAAGACUUUUAAUGGGCUAAUGCCCUACAUGUUUUAUCGUUUCCCUUCAGCAUUAGACACCUUUGGACUCUAUUCCAAAAGAUUAAAGAUAAAGGAAGCAAAAGCAACUAUCCAUGAUUGAAGGUAUGUGCCAAAUUUAACUGUUCUUUUCUGUGGGUAACUAAUAAUAUUCAUAAUAAAAUAAAAAAUAAGGAGUACUUAAUCAAGCAUGUUAAGCUAAUCAAAGUUAUUACGUAGUACUCCCUUCAUUUCUUUUUGAUGUAUCCAUUUCAAAAAGUGGAGAGUUUUUAAGAAAAUUGGAAUCUUGGUUUGUAUUGGUAUAAGUGUAAUGAUUGGGUGUAAGAAAAAUGAUUGUAUGUAAGAGAUUAUAAUAAAAAAAGAAGAGAGAAAAUAAUAAAGAAAUAAGAUAAGAGAGAGGAGUGAUAAUGAUGGGUGAUAAAGGAGGUGAGAGAGUGUGUAUAUGGGGAAGGGAAAAAAAUUAAAUAAUAGGGGUGGGGAAAUUUAGGUGGGAAUAUGGGUAGAAUCUUUAGGUAUUUUGAUAAUUAGAUAGAAAUAUAAGGGUAGUUUAGGAUAAAAUGUAUGUCCAAAAAUAGAAACGGAUACAACAAAAAGAAACGCUUAAAAUGGAAACGGAUACAACAAAAAGAAAUGGAGGGAGUACUACUCUAGUUGUUAUAUACUUGUAUUUUUGGAUUAAAAGUUGAUAGUCUGUCACGUUAUUAAUUUGAAUUACACUAUCAACAUGACAAUUAAUUUAGACGGAGGAAAUGUAGAUGAGAAAAGCCCCAAACAUUUUGUAGGACACCAUUUCCUAGCAAGUCUCAAUUUAUCGACUUCCUUUUAUUAGUUGUCGUAUACAUGUAGAGUAUGACAUACUUUCUUAUUCAAAGUUGUUAGUCUGUCAUGUAAUUAGUUUAAGUUACACUAUCAACAUGACAAUUAAUUUUGGACGGAGGGAAUAUAAAUCAGCUACGUACUAUUAAUUUAUUGCGAUAAUACAAGUUCCUUCUCGGUUCCUAACGGUGAAAAUAAGCCUAUAGAGUAAUUGCAAGUUAUUGAGAUUGGCUCGAGAAAGGAUUGACUAAGACGAGAUAUGAAAACAAACAAGUUUUGGCAUAUGAGUAACAAUAUAAAUGUACAAAAUACUAAACUCUCAAAGUAUCAACAAAAACAUAAAACUGUACUUCUCAUUUGAAAAUAAAAGAAAUGUACGGAGUAGUUGGACAUCGUUAUUAAAUCUCGAACUAGGAAAUAAGUACUCCCUCUGUUUUUAAAUAAGUGUCCACUUUGGAUAUUUACGCGGGAUUUAAUAAAACUGAAUUGUGUGUAAGAAGUAAUGAUUGAGAAUGUUUUUUUUUAAGGAAAAAGUAGAUAAUUGUUUAUUGAUAAAAUACAAAUAAAAGUGGAUGUGGUGAUUGAAAAGUGGGAAAAGUGUAGAAUGUGUAAGAAAAAAUAAUAAUGAUUUAUGGAAAAGUGAGAAAAGUAUAUGGAAGAGUGUUAAAAGUGUAUGGAAAAGUGGAAAAAGUGUAUGUUCAAAAAUGGAAACUGGACACUUAUAAGGGAACGCUAUUUUUGGAAAGUUGACACUUAUUUAGGAACGGAGGGAGUACUCCCUCCUUGCCAAAAUUAUAGUCUUGUUUUCUAAAUUGGGCGUCCCGAAAUUAUAGUCAUGUUUCAAAUUUUGGCUACUAAGGUCCUCACUUUCUCAUGUACUAUAUUAAUUAAAAAUGUAUUAAAAACCCCACCCAGGUACUAUAUUCUACGGAGUACUUUCCUAUGUACAAUAUUUUUUUCACAUUCAUUUAUUUCACAUUUCCAUACAACUCAAUCAUCAUUUACAAACUUUUAGAAAAGACGGUCUUACAGGAAAGACCGCCUUGUUCUCACCUUAUUGCCACGUCAUUACUGAUGUCAGCCUAAUAUCAACUUUGUUUUUAUUUUAUUUUCUGAAAAUAUAUAAUACCAAUUUUCAUUUCUCUCUCCUCACAACUCUCGGUUUCUCUCUCUCUCCUCAAAACUCUCGAUUUCUCUCUCUCUCCUCAAAACACCUGCCUCUUUCUCUCUCCUCAAAAUUAGUUCCAUGGCCACCACCACCAAGAGGUGGUCCACGAAGGUGCGAUGGCGGUGAGCGGCUACUGGCACCGUGCAAGGAGGCGCGCGGUGGUGAAACGAGAUCUACUGGUUUAUCGUGGCUCGUGGCGGUGGUGGCGGACGUGAAUGAGGCGACGGCGACCAGCGAAGUCUGUUUAGCAGCGGGAGAUCCUGGUGGCCGGCGGGAUGGGGAAGCGAGAACCAGAGCGAUCUGGUGAUGAAAUCGCCGCCUCUCCUUCUCGAUUCUCAAAUUUCGAAGGCGGCGGAGAACGGUGGUGGCGAACCCGUACUCGCGGCCUGCGAGCAAGGAGAGAUCGAAGCAACGAGAUCUCAUCGGAGGUGGCGGUGAGACACUACUUUCGCCGUCGAUGAUGGAGAAAGAGGUGGAGAAAGAUUAUGGUUGACUGCUGGAUUUCUAUCGUCUCCGGCGAGAUCGUUGAGGAGAUACGAAGGAAUAGAGGCAGCGAUCGAAGUGAUGAUCGGCUAUUACUUGCUUUUCAGAUCGAAGUGAUUCACCUCUGUGCAUUGGUGUUGGCAUUAUUGGACCUUCGGUGGUGGCGGAUGGUUGUGAGGUGCUCCUGUUGCUGUGGCGAGAUGUCGGGUAGAGUAGUUGGUGCUUACAAGGCUCUAAUAUGAUUUUGGGUUUUGAUUGUAAAUGUAAAUCAAUUUUAGUUAUGAAUUAUUCUAUUUUAGUUAAAUUUUUGUUAUAUUUAGUUAUGAAAUAAAAUGAUUUAGUUACAUUGUUUUUUA